CCUACGAGUGGCAGCAGUGGGGAAUAUUGCGCAAUGGGCGAAAGCCUGACGCAGCGACGCCGCGUGAGGGAUGAAGGUCUUCGGAUCGUAAACCUCUGUCAGCAGGGAAGAACGGUCACUGUGCUAAUCAGCAGUGAAUUGACGGUACCUGCAAAGGAAGCACCGGCUAACUCCGUGCCAGCAGCCGCGGUAAUACGGAGGGUGCGCGCGUUAAUCGGAAUUACUGGGCGUAAAGCGCUCGUAGGCGGUAUGUCAAGUCAAGGGUGAAAUCCCCGAGCUAAACGUGGGAACGGCCUUUGAAACGGGCAACCUGGAGUGUGUGAGAGGAUAGUGGAAUUCAAGGUGUAGGAGUGAAAUCCGUAGAUAUCUGGAGGAACAUCAGUGGCGAAGGCGACUAUCUGGCACAUAACUGACGCUGAGGAGCGAAAGCGUGGGUAGCAAACAGGAUUAGAUACCCUAGUAGUC
rnacentral:rRNA from 1 species